rnacentral:rRNA from 1 species
CCUACGGGUGGCAGCAGUGGGGAAUAUUGGGCAAUGGGCGCAAGCCUGACCCAGCAACGCCGCGUGAAGGAAGAAGGCUUUCGGGUUGUAAACUUCUUUUAAGAGGGAUGAGCAGAAGACGGUACCUCUUGAAUCUGCCCCGGCUAACUACGUGCCCACAGCCGCGGUCAUACGUAGGUGGCAAGCGUUUUCCGGAUUUACAGGGUGUAAAGGGCGUGCAGCCGGGGUAACAAGUCAGAGGUGAAAUUCCGGGGCUGAACCGCGGAACUGCAUUUGAAACUGUCAGUCUUGAGUACCGGAGAGGUCAGCGGAAUUCCUAGUGUAGCGGUGAAAUGCGUAGAUAUAAGGAAGAACACCAGUGGCGAAGGCGGAUGACUGGACGGCAACUGACGGUGAGGCGCGAAAGCGUGGGGAGCAAACAGGAUUAGAUACCCGGGUAGUC